rnacentral:rRNA from 1 species
GUCCACGCCGUAAACGAUGUCUACUAGCCGUUGGGGUCUUUGAGACUUUAGUGGCGCAGCUAACGCGAUAAGUAGACCGCCUGGGGAGUACGGUCGCAAGACUAAAACUCAAAUGAAUUGACGGGGCCCGCACAAGCGGUGGAGCAUGUGGUUUAAUUCGAUGCAACGCGAAGAACCUUACCUGGUCUUGACAUAGUAAGAACUUUUCCAGAGAUGGAUUGGUGCCUUCGGGAGCUUACAUACAGGUGCUGCAUGGCUGUCGU